rnacentral:rRNA from 1 species
AUACGUAGGGGGCAAGCGUUGUCCGGAAUCAUUGGGCGUAAAGAGCGUGUAGGUGGUUUAGUAAGUCUGCUGUGAAAGUCCAGGGCUCAACCCUGGAAUGCCGGUGGAUACUGUUGAACUUGAGUACGGAAGAGGCGAGUGGAACUCCUGGUGUAGCGGUGAAAUGCGCAGAUAUCAGGAAGAACACCAAUAGCGAAGGCAGCUCGCUGGUACGUAACUGACACUGAGACGCGAAAGCGUGGGGAGCAAACAGGAUUAGAUACCCUGGUAGUCCACGCCGUAAACGAUGGGUACUAGGUGUUGGGGGUGUCGACUCCCCCAGCGCCGUCGCUAACGCAUUAAGUACCCCGCCUGGGGAGUACGGCCGCAAGGCUAAA